GAACCACAUCGUCAUGGAGAUUGAUCUUGAUCACUACCGGGACUGGUUCAGCAGCCAGCUGGCAGCCACCUGCAAUGUGGAGCAGUCCUUCUUCAACGACUGGUUCAGCGGGCACCUCAACUUCCAGAUCGAGCACCACCUCUUCCCCACCAUGCCCGGCACAACCUGCACAAGAUCGCCCCACUAGUGAAGU